AUGUAUAGUCUUUUCCCAUUGAAACACGUUCUUCUGUGGAUAUCGUCCAAACGAAAUCCCCACUUGGCUUCUGCUUCCUCGUCUUUAUAUUUGUAGCUACGAAAAUCUAAAACUUUACCUGAUUUUAUACAGUCUGUCAAGUAUUGAGAAGAGACAAGUGGUAUACCUAGAGAAGUCGCCAGUAAAAACUUAUGUGUCCUCCGAAGUGGAGGUGAACCAAGGAUGACAAAGUCGGUUUCGUCUGUGACACUUUCUUGCACCCUUAGACCAUUUCUCCUUAUAAAACUUUUCAUCGGUUUAGUUAGGUUGAAACUCGACGUUACCAGAUUUGUGUGCUUGUUUUUAUUUUCAACUGCCGAGGACUGCACAUUCUUGUCAGGUUGAUCCUCUAAAGAUGAUGAGGGGAAAGAAUAAUUAGUGGAAAUUGGUGCCUCUUCUGCUUCUCUGUUACUUUCAUCCUGGGAUGUGGAUUCCUUCUCUUUGAGAGCGAUUUCCGGCGCACUUCUUUUACUUUCUUCAUUUUCGUUGGAGGGGGUUAAAUCUGGCCUAACCUCUGGAUUUACUUCAUCACUGUGAAUGCUAUUGUUCUUUAUAGAGCUGUCCGAUAUGUUUUGCUGUGGAUUCACAUCCUUCUCAAUUGGU